UGGAUCCAGACUUUGAUUCUGGCUCAGGACGAACGCUGGCGGCACGCUUAACACAUGCAAGUCGAACGGAGAAUAUCGAAGCUUGCUUUGAUAUUCUUAGUGGCGGACGGGUGAGUAACACGUGAGUAACCUGCCUCUGAGAGUGGGAUAGCUUCUGGAAACGGAUGGUAAUACCGCAUGAAAUCAUAGUAUCGCAUGGUACAAUGAUCAAAGAUUUAUCGCCCAGAGAUGGACUCGCGUCUGAUUAGCUAGUUGGUAAGGUAACGGCUUACCAAGGCGACGAUCAGUAGCCGGACUGAGAGGUUGAUCGGCCACAUUGGGACUGAGACACGGCCCAGACUCCUAUGGGAGGCAGCAGUGGGGAAUAUUGCACAAUGGGGGAAACCCUGAUGCAGCGAUGCCGCGUGGAGGAAGAAGGUUUUCGGAUUGUAAACUCCUGUUGAAGAGGACGAUAAUGACGGUACUCUUUUAGAAAGCUCCGGCUAACUACGUGCCAGCAGCCGCGGUAAUACGUAGGGAGCGAGCGUUGUCCGGAAUUACUGGGUGUAAAGGGAGCGUAGGCGGGACGGCAAGUCAGAUGUGAAAACUAUGGGCUCAACCCAUAGACUGCAUUUGAAACUGUUGUUCUUGAGUGAGGUAGAGGCAAGCGGAAUUCCUGGUGUAGCGGUGAAAUGCGUAGAGAUCAGGAGGAACAUCGGUGGCGAAGGCGGCUUACUGGGCCUUUACUGACGCUGAGGCUCGAAAGCGUGGGGAGCAAACAGGAUUAGAUACCCUGGUAGUCCACGCCGUAAACGAUGAUUACUAGGUGUGGGGGGACUGACCCCUUCCGUGCCGCAGUUAACACAAUAAGUAAUCCACCUGGGGAGUACGGCCGCAAGGUUGCAACUCAAAGGAAUUGACGGAAUCGA
rnacentral:rRNA from 1 species